rnacentral:rRNA from 1 species
GACGAACGCUGGCGGCGUGCUUAACACAUGCAAGUCGAACGGAAAGGCCUGCUUUCCCUUGUGGAUUGCGGGUACUCGAGUGGCGAACGGGUGAGUAACACGUGAGUGAUCUGCCCCCAACUUGGGUAUAAGCCUGGGAAACUGGGUCUAAUUCCCGAUAGGACUGCAGGGUGGUGCCUGUGGUGGAAAACGAUUUUCUAGUGGUUGGGGAUGAGCUCGCGGCCUAUCGGCUUGUUGGUGGGGUAAUGGCCUACCAAGGCGGCGACGGGUAGCCGGCCUGAGAGGGUGGACGGCCACAUUGGGACUGAGAUACGGCCCAGACUCCUACGGGAGGCAGCAGUGGGGAAUAUUGCACAAUGGGCGGAAGCCUGAUGCAGCGACGCCGCGUGGGGGAUGACGGCCUUCGGGUUGUAAACUCCUUUCGACCGCGAGGAAGCCACCUGGUUGGAAGGGUGGUGACGGUAGUGGUAGAAGAAGCACCGGCUAACUACGU